rnacentral:snRNA from 1 species
UGCUUUGGCAGCAAUACACUAAAAUGAGAAUUAUACAGAGAAGAUUAGCAAGGUCCCUAACCAAAGAUGACACAAAAUUUCAUUAAGUGUUACAUAUUUUA